AUAAUUAGGCCUUGCCUGCCGCCAGGCCAACAGAUUCUCUAGCUUGGCUGAGAUAACCAAGUCUGGCACUGAACAGAGCCCUUUGUCGACUCUUUGGCUCUUGCAAUAUCCAGAGGAAAGGCGUCCUCACUGAUCUUCCACUGGGGAAGCCGAGACCCCAGGAGGGUCAGUCUCUGUUGGAGUCAGUCAGGUCGAGGAGUCACCAGAUGUGACAGGAAAAGAGGCUUGUGCAGAGAGCUGGGGCCAUUCUUCUGACAUCUUCAGUUCCUCCUUCCCUUCCUCCAUCUUGCUGCCCGCAUGCCCCUCCUUCAAGAAUGCUUUUCAUGGUUGUCAGCCUACUCCACAGGUAUUGCUUCAUCAGUCGAGCCUUCCCUGCUCUUCCCUUCUUUGGGCUGAGUUCUGGAAAAGCCACCAGUGUCUCAUCCCUGGGUGAUGUGAUCUCUGCUAGUGGGCCUGGUAGCUUACCCGGCACCCCAGCCAUGGAAGAUGGAGACAGAACCCAGCAGAACAGACUGGACAGGAAGACAUGUCAGCAGCUCUGGGUUGGACUGAGACUCCGCCUCAAAGAAUAAGGCAGAAGAGUGUCAGGAUGAUUCCAGACAGCAACCUCAAGGCUCUACAUGCAUGAACACACAAGCUCUGCCAGAAUGUAUGCAUACCAUGUACACAUGCGGGCCCCCAUGCAAGCAUGCAUACCCACAAGCACACAUGCCACACACAUGAAACAAAAAACAAAAAUAAAGCGUUUGGAUGUAGUCAUGCUUCCUAUUCUUGAAACAAUCCAUGCGUUGGGUCCUACCGUCCCACCCAUUUUACAGAACUCAUCACUGAGGCACAUACAAGUGUUGGGCCCAAUCAUUGUACCCAUUUUAUAGAACUCAUUACUGAGGCACACACAAGUGGAGCCACUUUGUUAGGGUCACACAGCCAGAGCUUUGAACCUGGCCCACUGUUCCCAGAGCCCAUCUCGGCCACCACCUCUCCCUACUGUGCCUCCUUACUCUAGGACAAAGAGGCAGAAGAGGCAGAGGUUACAACCUGUGGGAAGGAAGAACAAAACUACCCCUCUCCUUCCAUGGUCCCAGGAGUGUGUGCACCUACUGGGCUCAGCUGGUGCCCCAGUAAGACUGAUUUGGCAGAUGCAGUGUGCUAGCUUCAGCAGCUGGGCUUCUGAUUGCCGAUUUCUGCUCUGGAAACUCCAUCAAACGCUCUCAGAAAGCUGGAGACCCAUGGUGUGUGGAGACCUCCCUGCCUGGUCCUGUGUCCCUCACCCCAUUAGUCCCUUUCCCCAGGCUUUCCCUAUCCAUCUCACCUCCUGUCUAGUUGUCUCAGAUUCUCCUGUCUAGUUGUCUCAGAUUCUCCUGUGUGCGCGUGUAUAUGUAUACAUGUGUGUGUGUGUGCGUGUGAGUAUAUGCAUGCGUAUGUGUGUGCAUGCAUGUGUGUGCAUUAAUGUAUGUGUGCAUGCAUGUGUACUGUGUGCAUGUGUAUACAUGUGUGUGCAUGUGCUUAUGUGCAUGUGUAUGUGUGUGCAUGUGUAUAUAUACAUGUGUGUGAAUGGAAGUCCAAGGAUCUAGCAGUUACUCAGUCUCACACAGCAAGCAGGCGAAGGAGCAAGAGCAAGACUCUCUUCUUCCAAUGUCCUUAUAUUGUCUCCAGCAGAAGGUGUAGCCCAGAUUAAAGGUGUGUUCCACCACACCUUUAAUCCUGGAUGACCUUGAACUCGGAGAUUUAAUCUUCUGCAAUCCAUAGCCACUAUACCUCAAGAUCUCCAUACCAAGAUCCAGAUCAGAAACUUCUAUCUCCAAGCCUCCAGAUAAGGAUCACUGGUGAGCCUUCCAAUUCUGGAUUGUAGUUCAUUCCAAAUAUAAUCAAGUUGACAACCAGGAAUAGUCACUACAGCAUGUGUUCAUGCAUGUGUGUAUACAUGUGUGUGCAUGUGUGUAUGUACAUGUAUUUGUGUGUGCAUGUGUAUACAUACAUGUGUGCAUGCAUGUGUGUGCUCAUGUACAUGUGUGCAUGUGCUCAUGCAUGUGUAUAUACAUGUGUGUGCACGUGUUCAUGCAUGUGUGUAUUACAGGUGUGUGCAAGUGUGUGCUCGUGUGUGUGUGUGUGUGUGUGUGUUCAAACACAAAUGUGGAGGCCAGAAGUCAACCUUCGAUACUUUCCCUUAGGAGCUGUGCAUCUUGUGUUUUGAGAUAGACUUUCUCCCUGGGACCUGUUGAUCACCAAUGAGGCCAGGCUGACUGGCCAGCAACCACUAGGCAUCCUCCUGUCUCUGUCUCCCCAGUGCAGGGGCUACAAGUGUGCACUAUCCUGCCUGACAUUUGUAUGUGGGUGAUGGGUAUUGAAACAGGUGCUCACGCUUGUGCACCAAGGUCUUUACCAACUGAGCUGUUGAUCCAGACCCCAACAUAUUCCCUAAAGUUAGGAACGGACAGAAUCAAUUGCUACUGCUGCUGUUACACUUUUAACCCCAGAAAUUACAAAUAAAUCAAGACCCGGAGAAGCAGGUUGGUUGGGAGCCCACCAGCCUCUUAUCUGAUGGAGAGAUCAAAGUGAGAGACCCAGACCCUAGCAGUCAUGGUCCCUUCCACCCCUACCCCGGGCUCCAAAGCCCAGCUGUGCUCUCCUCCCCUUUCCCAGUCUAGGGUCCAGGGCCACCCCUCCUUCCAGAUGGUGCCACACACACUCAGGGCAGAUCUCACCUCCCAGGCACCCUCUGGGGUGUGAGCAUCACUAACCCCCCCCCAACUGUUCUUAAUCCAAUCAAGCUGACCUCAGCAUCUUCUCAAAUUCUAUCUCUCCAACCACAUUCCCCAGGGAAGAAAACAUGCCUCUGAGCCCUGGUUCUUCACCUGUUGGUCUGAGAUUUCAUUCACUCAUUCAUUCACUCACUCAUUCAUUCACUGUGCUCUCACAGGAUAAGGAUGUUCUGAGCCACCACAUAGGACCUUGGCCUUCCACAGCCUCUUCUGAGCUGGUCUCACAUUCUAAAGAACCUUCUUUUGGGGGACGAAACAUUUAAACAUUUUAAAACACACAAUGUUAAGAAGUGACACCCUACCUUGAGAAAGAACUAUCUCCUUGCAGGCUUAGUGACACACGCCUUUAACGUCAGCACUUAGAGGACAAGAGGCAGGUG